rnacentral:rRNA from 1 species
GAACGAACGCUGGCGGCGCGCCUAAUACAUGCAAGUCGAGCGAGAAGACGUAGCAAUACGUUUGUAAAGCGGCGAACGGGUGAGGAAUACAUGGGUAACCUACCCUCGAGUGGGGAAUAACUAGCCGAAAGGUUAGCUAAUACCGCGUACGCUCCUUGGACUUCGGUUCAGGGAGGAAAGCGAUACCGCGGGUAUCGCGCUCUUGGAUGGGCUCAUGUCCUAUCAGCUUGUUGGUGAGGUAACGGCUCACCAAGGCUUCGACGGGUAGCUGGUCUGAGAGGACGAUCAGCCACACUGGCACUGCGACACGGGCCAGACUCCUACGGGAGGCAGCAGUAAGGAAUAUUGCGCAAUGGGCGAAAGCCUGACGCAGCGACGCCGCGUGGGGGAUGAAGGUC